UACAGAGGUCUCAAGCGUUGUUCGGAUUUACUGGGCGUAAAGGGCGCGUAGGCGGCCACCGCAAGUCGACUGUGAAAUCUCCGGGCUUAACCCGGAAAGGUCAGCCGAUACUGCGGGGCUAGAGUGCAGAAGGGGCAACUGGAAUUCUCGGUGUAGCGGUGAAAUGCGUAGAUAUCGAGAGGAACACCUGCGGCGAAGGCGGGUUGCUGGGCCGACACUGACGCUGAUGCGCGAAAGCCAGGGGAGCGAACGGG
rnacentral:rRNA from 1 species